rnacentral:rRNA from 1 species
AGUCGAACGGCAGCACGGACUUCGGUCUGAAGGCUGUGGCGGAAGUGGCGAACGGGUGGAGGCAAUGUAUCCGGAACGUGCCUAGUAGCGGGGGAUAACUAUGGCGUAGCUAAUACCGCGCAUACGCCCUUCGAAGCCGGGGACGGGCCUCGCACUAUUAGAGCGGCCGAUAUCGGAUUAGCUAGUUGGUGGGGUAACGGCUCACCAAGGGCGACGAUCCGUAGCUGGUUUGAGGACGACCAGCCACACUGGGACUGAGACACGGCCCAGACUCCUACCGGGAGGCAGCAGUGGGGAAUUUUGGACAAUGGAAACCUGAUCCAGCCAUCCCGCGUGUGCGAUGAAGGCCUUCGGGUUGUAAAGCGCUUUUGGCAGGAAAGAAACGGCACGGGGAUAAUACCCCGUGCGAAAAGCUGACGGUACCUGCAGAAUAAGCACCGGCUAACUACGUGCCAACAGCCGCGGUAAUACGUAAGUGCAAGCGUUAAUCGGAAUUACUGGGCGUAAAGCGUGCGCAGGCGGUUCGGAAAGAAAGAUGUGAAAUCCCAGAGCUUAGCACGGUUGCAUUUAACUCACCGAGCUAGAGUGUGUCAGAGGAGUGGAAUUCGCGUGUAGUGAAAUGCGUGAAUGUGCGGAGGAAUGCCGAUGGCGAAGGCAGCCUCCUGGGACAACACUGACGCUCAUGCACGAAGAAGCGUGGGGAGCAAACGAGUUAGAUACCCUGAUAGUCCCGCCUAAACGAUGUCAACUAGCUGUUGGGGCCUUCGGGCCUUGGUAGCGCAACUAACGCGUGGAGAUUGACCACCUGGGAAGUACAGUCGCAAGAUUAAAACUCAAAGAAAUUGACGGGGACCCGCACAAGCGGUGGAUGAUGUGGAUUAAUUCGAUGCAACGCGAAAAACCUUACCUACCGCUUGACAUGUCUGGAAUCCCGAAGAGAUUUGGGAGUGCUCGCAAGAGAACCGGAACACAGGUGCUGCAUGGCUUAUCGUGCGUCAGCUCGUGUCCCGUGAGAUGUUGGGUUAAGUCCGCAACGAGCGCAACCCUUGUCAUUAGUUGCUACGAAGGGCACUCUAAUGAGACUGCCGGUGACAAACCGGAGGAAGGUGGGGAUGACGUCAAAGUCCUCAUGGCUCCUUAUGGGUAGGGCUUCACACGUCGUAAUGGUCAGGACAGAGGUCGCCAACCCGCGAGGCCAAUCCCAGAAACCCGAUCGUAGUCCGGAUCGCAGUCUGCAGCACCGACUGCGUGGAAGUCGGAAUCGCUGGUAAUCGCGGAUCAGCAUGUCGCGGUGAAUACGUUCCCGGGUCUUGUACACCGCCCGUCACACCAUGGGAGUGGGUUUACCAGAAGUAGUUAGCCUAACCGUGGAGGGCGAUUACCACGGUAGAAGUUCAUGACUGGGGUGAAGAGUCGUAACAGAGUA